AAUAUUGCGCAAUGGAGGGAACUCUGACGCAGCGACGCCGCGUGAGCGAUGAAGGUUUUCGGAUCGUAAAGCUCUGUACUUGGGGAAGAAGGUCUUCGGACUUGUCGGUUCCUAUGGAGGAAGCCCCGGCUAACUACGUGCCAGCAGCCGCGGUAACACGUCGGGGGUAAGCGUUGUCCGGAAUUAUUGGGCGUAAAGGGUGCGUAGGGGGCCUUUUAAGUCAGAUGUGAAAGCCCACGGCUUAACCGUGGGACUGCAUUUGAAACUGGAGGGCUUGAGUAUCGGAGAGGGUAGUGGAAUUCCCAGUGUAACGGUGGAAUGCGUAGAUAUUGGGAGGAACACCAGUGGCGAAGGCGACUACCUGGACGAAAACUGACGCUGAGGCACGAAAGCUAGGGGAGCAAAC
rnacentral:rRNA from 1 species